UCCUAUGCUUGUCUCAUAGAUUAAGCCAUGCAUUUCUAAGCUCACACGAACUAACUGUAAAACCGCAAAAGGCGUUUUAUAUCAGUUGUGGUUCCUUAUAUCGUUAACAGUUACUUGGAAUAACAUCUAGUUCGUAUGGUCUUGUACCGACGACAGAUCUUUCAGAUGUCUGUCAUAUAAAUUUUUGAUGGUAUUACAUGGACUACAAUGGUUGCGAUGGGUAACGAGAAGCCGGCGAGUAAAUUACCCACUUCCUGAUUGCGGGGGUAGUGACGAAAAAACAAUACAGGACUCAUAUCCGAGGGCCUGUAAUUGGAUUGAGUACACACAUUAAAUACUUUAACAAGAACCUAUUGGAGGACAAGUCUGAUGCCAGCAGCCGCGGCACUAUAGCGUAAA
rnacentral:ncRNA from 1 species